CAAACAGAUGGUAGGAUGGUUGCAACAGUUCCAAGCAGGUCAUCUACAGAUGCCACUGGCCAGAAAGAUCAAAAGGAACUGUCUUCUCUGAUAUCUUUAUCGGGACCCAACCCAGAACGGCAUGUUGCAUUUAAUCAUCAUUCUGCUUAAUUUUUUCCAGUUGGUGAUUUUUUUCAGUUUUUCCUUGUUUCUCAAGACCUUUGCACUUUUAAAGAGUACUGAUCAAGUAUUCUGUAGAAUAUAUCUCAAUUCGGAUUUGAUGUUUUCUCAUGAUUAGACUGGGAUUAUGGAUUUUUGAGGAAGAAUGCCACUGAGCCACUUAUUCAGAGACAGUGUGAGAGAAUGAAGCCAAGAGAGUGAAGCAGAUAUUCUACAGGGAGGACCUAGUCGCAGUCCCUGAUGAAUGAACUACUAGAGAACUAACCAACGUCAUUUAUGAAGAACACAAUGAAGUCAGACAAAAAGAAAAAAUUGUUCCUAUUGGCUAAUCCAACUGAAGGCCAAUGGAUAAAGGCA
rnacentral:lncRNA from 1 species